rnacentral:tRNA from 1 species
CGGGCCGUAGCGCAGUCUGGUAGCGCGACUGGUUUGGGACCAGUAGGUCGGUGGUUCGAAUCCACUCGGCCCGACCA